AAAUUGAUCACAAUGGCCAAAAUAAUAAUUUAAAAGUUUUCAUUACUGAAGUGAAUUAUGAUACAAGAUUAUUUAACCUAUAAGGGAAAAUUGCAGAUGUGCCAGUUAAAAUAAUUUCUGGAAUCUUGUUAUUAGCCACCAGAAUGUUACUUAAAAGACUAGGUGGACCAUUCGAAAAUUCGAACUUGUGGUGGUGAAAAUGUAAUGGAUAUACUACAGUUGGAGCAAUAACCACUGUCUUAUCACACAGGGGCCACUUCAUUCUCACUGAGCUACUCGGCAUUAAAAAAAAGCAUAUUUUAUUCUCGUUAUAUUCUGC